AAUGAACGCUGGCGGCGUGCCUAACACAUGCAAGUCGAGCGAACAGACGGGGCUUUUUCUCGUAUGACGUGGCCGACGGACGAGUGAGGCACACGUAUAUACCUUACCUAUAAGACUGACAUCAGUUCGGGAGACCUGAUCUAACAUCGGAUCAUAUAUUGAAACGCAUGGUUCAUUAGUGCAAGACGGUUUUGCUGUCCCUUAUACAUGUUUCCUGGACGGAUUAGCUAGUUGGUACGGUAACGGCUUACCAAGGCUACGAUGCGUAGCCGACCUGAGAGGAUGAUCGGCCACACUGGAACUGAGACACGGUCCAGACUCCUACGGGAGGCAGCAGUAGGGAAUAUUGGGCAAUGGGCGAAAGCCUGACGGAGCAACGCCGCGUGAGUGAAGAAGGUCUUCGGAUCGUAAAACACUGUUAUUAGGGAAGAAGAGAUGUAAAUGUAAAUCUGGACGUCUUGACGGUACCAAAACAAAAAGCAACGGCUAACUACGUG
rnacentral:rRNA from 1 species